CAGAAGAUAGUUUAAAUUUAAAAUGCCAGUUUUGGGGGCUGGAGACGGGGGUUAGUGCCCCUCUUUUGA
rnacentral:tRNA from 1 species